CCUCCUUCCUGCCCGUGCCACCAGGCCCCGGGGCCGCGACGCGUCUCUCCAGCCCGGGAUCCGGGGAGCUGGGCUCGUCCCAGACCGACGGGACGGCGGCAUCUCCUCCACCUGAAAAGGAAAGGGGACCAGGAAGGAAGCUCAGAACAGCCCUCGGAAAACUGCGUGUUGACAGCGCCUGGAGUCCUGGCUGGAAGAGGGAAGGGCACUCAGCUGCUUCGCUGGAGCUGUGUCUCUCCCACCUGCCUUGAAGGAACCUCUUGGGAAGGCUGCAACUUCUGGCCUCUGGGGACCUAAAGAAGCCAACUGGCAAAGCGGUAUGAAAACUAAACCAGUUCUAGGGCCAGAUGCACAUCAAGGCAGUUUGUGGGCCACCUGGCAGGUCUGCUGAAACACAGUGCCCCUCACCAACCUUCUCUCUCUGCAGGAACCCCCUCCUUUGAGGUAAAAGUGUUGCAGACCCCGGGAAAUGCCUGGGAGACCUUGUGCCUCAGCAGAGAGAGGUGUUAUGUGCACCAGAUCCCCAACAUGCUUUGCAAAUGUUUAAGGGAGAAGACAGACGUGGGUCAGACACAACACAAACAAGGCUCUCGGGCCACCAGGCUGACGGAAGGUGCUACACAGAGACUUCUUGGCCACCUGGGGCCCCUUUGAGCCUAUGAGGGAUCCUGGGAGGGUAGUGGAGGGAGGACAGCAGAGGAGCACCAAAGGCAAAUCAGCCCAUUUCACAAUAUUAUCGUGAGCCAGCCCUAUCUUAGCCCUCUCGUUUUGAAGAAAAGCCAAAUUUGUAUUUUAAAAGAUUCUUAUGCCUGAUCCAUUCCCUAUUGUGAAAUAAGCACAUUUAUUACACAGAAGGAAACCUGAUGUCUCUGAGACCUUGAGCAGACUAUUUACAACAUUUGGGCUACAAGGCAAGGUGACCUUCAGACCACGAAGUGGCAAUGGCUUGCAUAUGGCAAGGCAGGGUCUCUCAGAGAACAUGAGACACACAGGCCACCACCAUGUUUUAGGGGACCUGGGAUUUUGCAAAGGGAAGAAAUAACAAAA